UACUGUAUCUGCCCCGCACGCACACACACACACAUAUAUAUAUAUAACACCCCUCUUACUCAGGAGCUACCACCCCCGUCAGCUGUUGUUGUUUUUUUUCGUUGUUGCCAGAAUCUUCAUUGCUCUUGUCGCUCUCUUCAUCACAUAGACCUGCGCAAAAGACGUACUGGUCUGGCGGUCAGCGCCUACACACGCGUCCCACGCUCAGUUGCUCAGUUUAUCUUUACGCGGUGCUGCGUUCACUACCCCUGUCUCUCUCCGUUUGUGUGCGUACGCGCGCGUGGCGUUUUUUUUUUCUUUCGUGAUUGUUCAAGAGAGGCGGGUGUGUGUCGUAGUGGUGGUGGUGGGUAAUGAUGAGAGGCUGCCUCCGUGCAUCUCUCCCUCCCUCCUACUCCGUGAUACAUCUCCGACUACUUCUUCUCCCCAGCCCCUUGUACGCAGACGCGCUCCUGCACGCGCGAUAACCGACGUCUUAGUGCACCCUCAAGCACACACUCACAGACGCACACAUCUUUCUCCACUGCGUCACCGAUCCUCUCACCGUAAGUGAGUCCGCUGGGCUCGCCCCACCUUACACACACACACACACGACUCUCCCUCUGUAUUCUCGAUGGGCAAGAAGGACCAGGCCGCCGCGGCGGAGAACAUUAAGGUGCUCGUCCGAUGCCGUCCUUUCAGCGAGAAGGAAAAUGCGAUGGGUCACAAGAGCUGCGUCGACCUUGACAUGGUGCAGAACACCGUGACCGUGAAGAGCAUCAUUGGCGAGCCCGAUCGCUGGACCUUUGACGCGGUGAUCAACAACAGCUUCUCCCAGGAGGACAUCUUCACCCAGUUCAUUAUGCCACUGACGGAGUCCGUGCUCGGCGGCUUCAACGCAACAGUAUUCGCCUACGGCCAGUCCGGCUCCGGUAAGACACACACAAUGACGGGUGUGAUGGGAAACAGCACGCUGGAGGGUGUGAUCCCCCGGUGCGUCAAGCACAUUUUCGACUCUGUACAGAAGAUGAGAGACGAGGCGCCGAGCACGACCGUCAGCAUGUACGUGUCCUUCAUGGAGCUGUACAAUGGUAAGGUGCGCGACCUGCUAGCGAAGCAGCAGGUGUCACUGGAUAUCCGCGAAAACAAGGAUCACACCUUUUUUGUGAAAGGCGCCGUUGUGGCGCAGGUCAAGUUCCCUGAGGAUGUUAUCCGGCACCUGGAGGAGGGCACAGACCGUCGCCGCGUCGCGUCCACGGAGCUGAACGCCGAUAGCAGCCGCUCGCACUCCGUUUUCUCGCUCAUUCUGGAGUGCACCGAGACCCUCGAAGACGGCAGCACCCGCGCCGUGUCGAGCAAGCUGAACCUGGUGGAUCUUGCCGGCUCGGAGCGCCAGGGCAAGACUGGCGCCUCGGGUGACACGCUGAAAGAGGGGUGCAACAUCAACCUCUCGCUGAGCGCGCUCGGCACCGUCAUCGACACCAUUGUCAAGGGCGGCGCCCACGUGCCGUUCCGCAGCAGCCCUCUGACGAUGCUGCUGAAGGACUCGCUUGGUGGAAACAGCAAGACCGUCAUGUUUGCGAAUAUCAACCCCAGCGAGCGCAACAUGUCGGAGACGGUGUCGACGCUGCGCUUUGCGGACCGCGCCAAGCAGAUCAAGAACAAGCCGGUUGUGAACAUGGACUCGAAGGAUCAGAAGAUCGCAGAACUGACGGAAAUAGUGAAGGAGCUGCGCGAGAAACUGGCCAAGUACGAGAACGAGGGCACGGCGGGGCUGGAGGAGGAGGUGGUGCAGCUACAAGAGAAGAUAGGUCAACUGGAGGUGCAGCUGGACAACGCCACAAAGAGCCGCGAAGCGGAUUUGGUCGACUACGAGACGGCGAAGGCCACUCUUGCCGCGGAGCGGCAGACCCUUAACACCCGCCUCCUCUCCAUGGAGGACGAGAUUAGCCAGCUGCAGAAUCAACUGCAGAUCUCGGAGAGCAGCGGGGCGGCAAUGCAGUCUCAGCUGAACGAAGUGUGGACGCUGUGCUACAACUACUUCCUGACGCCGACAGAGAAGGCGGCGCAGACGCUGGAGCAGCUGCAGGUCACUCGGACAUUCGAGGAGAUACUGCGAAACGCCAAGAAGAAGGCGGAAGGAGGCGGUGAGUCGUCCCUGCAGGAGAAGAUCCAGUCGCUGACGGCGGACCUCAAGGCGUCCCAGGCAGAGCACAUGGCAACCAAGAAGGAGCUCAAGACCAGCAAGGCGCAGCUGGAGCGGCACCUGGCGGAGGUGAAGGAGGAGCUGGCCGAGUGGAAGAGAGCCUCGGUCGCGCCCGGCAGUAGCAUCGGCGAUGGUCAAGUUGCGGUGGCAAUGGGGCAGCAGCAGGACUACACAAUGCAGGAGGAGAAGCUGCUGGCAGCGAUUAAGCUCGACGACAACGGCGCCGCAGCGAUCAAGCUUUUACGCGAGGAAAACGAGAAGCUGCGACGCCAGCUGAUGGCGGCAGCGUCCGCUCUGCCUCGCUCGACCGCGGCGGUGGCUGCGCCCCAGCAAAAGUCGGCCUCCAUCUCAAAGAACGCGGCGGCGGACUCAGCGGUGCCGCUGGAGCUGCAGUCGUCCACAAGUGCGGCGGCUCAGAACGCCGCAGCGAUUAGCAGUCUUCAGGCGGAGCUUGAGGAGGCGAAGGCCAAGGUGGAGCACGUGACUGCUUCUCGCGAGUCUCUCUACGCGGAGCUGGAGGCUCAACGCACGGAGCUCGCCAAGUUGGAGUCCACCGUGGCGCAGCACGACCGACAGCUCGCCAAAGUGCAGCAGGAGUACGAGGCGAAGCUGGCAGCUGCCACCCACUCAGAGGACGAGGUGACGCGGCUGGAAACCCGCCUGCGCGAGCGCUCUGACCAACUAGAGCAGGUGCGCGCAUUGCUGGAGAAGCAGAAAGCCAUCAUCAUAAAGAACAACGAGAAGGCAGAGUAUUUCCAGAUCUCUGUGCGGGAAAAGACGGAGGCCCUCGUGGCACUGGAACAGCAGUUCCGCGAGCAGCUGGAGAACAAGGAUGCGCAGAUGCAGCAGCUCAUCAAUAAGCGCGUCGCCGAGUUUUCUGAGCAGCGAAGCGCUGAACUGAAUGAAAAGUCGCUCCGUCAGAAGAAGCUAAAGAAGAAGGUCCAUAAGCUGCAGGAGGAGCUGAACAAGUGGGAAGAGCGGUUCGACACGAAGGUGUGCGAGUGCGAGGACCUCCGCAAAGCUCUGGAGGAGAAGAAGGUGGAGCAGAUGCGCCUGCUGCGCCGCAUCGAGCUCUCCGAUGACGAGGCUGAGGCCUUGGAGCAGAAGGAGCAAAUCCAGAACGCCCUCGAGCGCGCAAAGCAGGAGCGCCGUCGCAAGGACGAUCUCUUCGCCAUGGGUGAGGUGCGCAGCGCCAAGUCCGUUGUGAGGCGUAGCACGACAGAUCCCUCAGACGACGCCGAGUGCUCGUAGCAAGACACGAACGCAUACGUGCAUUCAUACGCAGUCGUCGCCCUUCCUCUCCGCCCCUCCCCUCUCUUUGCCGAAGAUCUCUGCAUCUCCCGCUGCAUCCGCAAAUGAUGUUCUCUACUUUUUGUGUGUCCGCGUGUGCUUAUGUGCGUGUGUGUGUCCGCGUGUGUUUAUGUGCGUGUGUGUGUCCUUCCGCUUUGACCCUCCCCGCGUAAUAUCGCUGCCCCUUCUCCAACGUCCCUUCCUGAUCCGUUGAUCAAACCUUUUCCCUUUUCCUUCGUGCGCGUAUGUGUAGUACCCCCACCCCCACCCACCCACACACACACUCACUCACUGACUCACUCACACACCACCACCACGACUCCUCCCCUUUCUCAUUAUGUUUCAAAUCUCUGCACAAACGCUUCUGCUUGUCCUGCUCCUUCUCUCGUCUCCAGCACGGCUUCAUGCCCAUGUCGGUGGCAUGCGCGUGCUCGCGCGUGCGCCAAGGUGUUCUCCUCCGCGGCCCUCGAGCGCGAAGGCCUCGGUACUUUGUCCGUCCUCACUUCCCGCCCCCCCUCCUCCUCCUCCUCCUCCUCACCUUUUCGUCUUAGUAUGCAUCGCUUUCUCAUGUACACAGAGAUCCUCGUACGCAAACACACACCGCUGUGCUGCGCCGCCGGGUGGGAGGAAGGGAGGAAAAGGGGCAUGUGAUGUAUUUCUCGCGUUGUCUGUGAACGAUGGUGGAGGACGGCAUCCUUUUUACUUAACUUUGGGCCCCUUCCACCAACGCACCAAGCCACGCGCCAUUCAAAGAAAGCGAUACCAUAUGUAUAUAUACAUGCAUAUAUAUAACGUCUUCUCCGGCUGCCAUGCUCCUCCGUAACUCUUCCCCGUUCUUUUUGUUCGGUUUCGAUCCUGUUCUCUUACGUCCGAUGAGAGGUCUGUGGGGGAGGGGGAAAGGGGGGGGGCUCGAGUGGCCGCGAGGAGGGGAGACACGCGCCAGGAGACUUCACACUUGAGAAAAAAGCAUAAGAAACUUUACAAGAAAGCUUCCCCUCUGUCUCUCUUUCCAUGCAGCCUUAUCUUCUUGUUGAUCUGCUCCUUCGUUUCUUAUUCUGCUGGAACCGCCGGUGAGGGUCAGGGGGGAACGAUUGUGCAACCGACGCACACACGCACACGCACACUCGCCGAUACGCAUAGUCCUCUGUGACUCUCUCUCGCUUUACUUUCUUACAGCUCGUUGUGAGUCGAUCUACGUUGUAUCUGUGCGUGAGCGAAAGAAAAGAAGGGGAUGGUGUAGGACACUGAGGUCUGAUCCCUUCUUAGUUUGUUUGGUCUUUGUGGAUGUGGCGCGCUUGUUUUACAUCAGGGCCUCCCUCUCCUCUGCCGUGCCUGUGGGUGUGUAUGAUGGAUGUACCUCAACCCCGAGCGGGUCUCUUCGUUUCUCUCCCCUCCCUUCUGUGCAUAAGUCUCUUACCUCCACCACCGCCAGCGACAGCAGCCGCCCCUCUGCCUCCACGCCCCAGAGUUUUUUCUCUCUUGUGUUUUCCCUGUUUUCCGAUUUUCGCUUUUUUCACCAUGUAUCAUUCUGCCUGUCUGUCUGUGUGCUAGUUAUUCCCUCCUGCCCCUUCCCCUGUCUCCUCCCUUACUCCCUCUUCUACGCUGGCGUCUCCCCUCAUGUUGCCAGCUGCUACGACCGCCACCACCCGACACCCGCACGCCCUUCGUGCUGUGUGAAGGUAGAACUGAAUGCCUUCCCCCCUUCCCAGCACCAUCUUGUUUAUGGGAUGUAUCGCGUGUGGUGGCGGGGUCGGUAAACCGCUUGCAGGGAUUCAAAUCGCCUCAGCACGGUACGCGCACAGAGGGGGAGAGAAAGCGUGGAACGAGGAAACGAGGGAGCGUGACUGAUGUGAAAUGUCGUGGAGUGUGCAGACCUCUGAUUGUUCAGCGGAGUUGCGUGCGGAACGACAAAAAAAAAUUAUGGUUGGUGCCGUUGUUGUUCUUGAACUUUUUUUUCUUUUUCACCCCCUGGCGAAGAAAAUGAAGAGCGAAAGGGAUGCGCAGGAGAAGAGCACCAAAGGUAGAGACGGGUAGAGGGGCAAGAAAUGUAAUAUGUUGUCAACGGAUGGCACACACACACAUCACCGCCUCUCCCCAUCUCUGCACCUCUUUGUCUCUCUCCUGUCUCCUCUCUCCCCCACCUUCGCCGCACACCGUCAUUUCACCUCCCGUGUUUUCGUGUCGUCCUCGAUGUUUGGUUGUUGCUGUCGCGAUGGUUGCUCUUCGUCUCUUGUGGUUUUGUGCUUGAUUUCCCCCGUGCACACCCGUCUCCCUCUCCCGCGCCAUUAUUUCCUUUCAUAUGUAUAAAGUGUAUGUGUAUAUCGUUUUUUUUUUCGGGGGAUGAAUGGGGGUGGGCAGUGGAGCGAGAAGGAUCGACGCUCUCGUUGCUGUUGCUCGUUGCUGACUUCUCUUUUCGCGCUCCUGUUUCUUCUCUCUCCCUUGUAUAUGUAAUCUGUUUGUCUGCAUCUGCACGUGAGAGUCUGUGUCUGUGUGUGUGUGUGUGUUGGCGCGCCUUCUUCGCUGUGGAUGGAGAAUGCUGCUGCUGUCCCGCCCACCGCAUCCGCCUCGCUGCUGUGAAUUUUGUAAUGCUGCUUUGUGCUUUUCUUUGUUGUGCCUUUGCGCGGGCAUGCGUGGGUGGGUGAGUGGGCGGCGAGUGGAAUGAGUGGACGAAAGGUGACGUUGCCGUCACCACCAACACCACCACGACCACCACCUCCUGUCGCAUCCUCGCUGCCUUCACGUCUUUCAUACAUGUUUGCUCUAUUAUUUUGAUUUCGUGUCUCCUCUUUCUCUCCUCAAUUCCUGGACAGGAGGGAAGGGGAGAAGUCGAGGAGGGAGGGAGGACGAGGACGAUACAAAGGACGCAUGUGUGCACACCAUUCUCUCUCUUGCCUUGUAUGUGCCUGUGUGCUCAUGCAUUGUCCACUGAUGUGCUGCAUCGCGGCAACGUCGCCGAAUCUAAAAAAAAAAGAACAUGUGCAGAAAAGGUAAGAAGGGAAACGAUGAGACUUCCUCAUGAUGGUGUGGUAUGGUCGGAAGACGCGGCCGCAGCGGCCGCGCUCACGUAUUCGCCGAGAAAAAGAUGGCGUGCAAGGUGAGCCGAGACAAUUUGUGAGAAAGCACAGGAUUGGUAGCGGCUGGACUCCACGAGAUGCAAGAAAAAAAAACGGAGGGCGCGCCUACCCUCACCCCGAUCUCGUGCCCGUGCUCCUCCUCUCGCUCUUACUCUCUGCACUUGUUUCUCACGCCAUCGUUGCACGUGACUGCUGAUGGCGGAAAAAAGUGGCGCUUACAACGCUGCCGUCAAAGGGGUAACUCCUCCUUCCCUCUCUCUCUCUCUGCAGCUUGCGUCCAGCCGCUCAGUCCCUCUGCAAUGCCUUCACAAACAAACACACACAUACACACGUCAGGGGAAGGGAAGGUCACGCAGUCAUACACGCUUGUGUGUGUGUGUGUGUGUGUGUGUGUGGUACCACAGCUGCUGUCUCAUCAUCAUCGCUCCCGCUUUCACAUUCUUCCUCUCUCUUUCUCCGCUCCGACCCUUUGUGCUUCUUCGUGGAG
rnacentral:misc_RNA from 1 species